AAGUGCUGCUGGCCUGCCUCUUAAGAGGUGCAAGCCACCACACCAGGCUGUAUCACAGGCCAAAACCCUCUAAGGUCUUUUCCAGGAAUACCCAGGACAACCUGUCAAAGGCCUUUUCGGCAUCUGUGGUUGCUACGCAUUGAUAUAAGUUUACCACGUAACACACAUUUUAGAGUCUCCCACAAAACUGCUGGGGAUGUCUCUGGUGAGCUAUUUACAGUAUAUGAACUAUCUGAUCAACCCAACCUUGGAUCAGCUUUCUCCUAUCCUCACUAUGCAAUAGGAAAUCAUUGAGAUGCCAGUUAAACUCCUGUUUCAUUGUUUGCAGAAUUUGAAAUGUAGUAGUUAUAGGAGAAUGAUCUGAGAUAAAGGAAGAUCUGAUGUCGGCCUGGGAGAAUAAAUGUAACCAGUACGGUGAUACAUAUAUGUAGGCAAUUCUUGAAUAAAUGUUGUGUGUUUUAAAAAA